rnacentral:rRNA from 1 species
GUGACCUCAAAUCAGGUAGGACUACCCGCUGAACUUAAGCAUAUCAAUAAGCGGAGGAAAAGAAACUAACAAGGAUUCCCCUAGUAACUGCGAGUGAAGCGGGAAAAGCUCAAAUUUAAAAUCUGGCAGUCUUUGGCUGUCCGAGUUGUAAUCUAGAGAAGUGUUAUCCGCGCUGGACCGUGUACAAGUCUCCUGGAAUGGAGCGUCAUAGAGGGUGAGAAUCCCGUCUUUGACACGGACUACCAGGGCUUUGUGAUGCGCUCUCAAAGAGUCGAGUUGUUUGGGAAUGCAGCUCAAAAUGGGUGGUAAAUUCCAUCUAAAGCUAAAUAUUGGCGAGAGACCGAUAGCGAACAAGUACCGUGAGGGAAAGAUGAAAAGAACUUUGGAAAGAGAGUUAAACAGUACGUGAAAUUGCUGAAAGGGAAACGCUUGAAGUCAGUCGCGUCGUCCAGGGAUCAACCUUGCUUUUGCUUGGUGCACUUUCUGGUUGACGGGUCAGCAUCAAUUUUGACCAUUGGAAAAAGAUUAAGGGAAUGUGACAUCUUUGGAUGUGUUAUAGCCCUUGGUUGCAUACGAUGGUUGGGAUUGAGGAACUCAGCACGCCGCAAGGCCGGGUUUAACCACGUACGUGCUAGAUGCUGCU